AUAGCCGCGCGCAGCCUCUCCCGGGCAAGGGGAGCCUUCAUCCCCUGCCCGGGAGAGGCUGCGUGUGGCUAAGU